rnacentral:rRNA from 1 species
UGCGCAGGCGGGCUUGUAAGUCAGUGGUGAAAUACUGCCGCUUAACGGUAGAACUGCCAUUGAUACUGCAAGUCUUGAAUAUGGUUGAGGUAGGCGGAACGUGUCGUGUAGCGGUGAAAUGCAUAGAUAUGACACAGAACGCCGAUUGCGAAGGCAGCUUACUAAGCCAUUAUUGACGCUGAGGCACGAAAGCGUGGGGAGCGAACAGGAUUAGAUACCCUGGUAGUCC